rnacentral:rRNA from 1 species
GUCGGGAAUAUUGCGCAAUGGAGGAAACUCUGACGCAGUGACGCCGCGUAUAGGAAGAAGGUCUUCGGAUUGUAAACUAUUGUCGUUAGGGAAGAAAAAGGACAGUACCUAAGGAGGAAGCUCCGGCUAACUACGUGCCAGCAGCCGCGGUAAUACGUAGGGAGCAAGCGUUAUCCGGAUUUAUUGGGUGUAAAGGGUGCGUAGACGGGAUAAUAAGUUAGUUGUGAAAUCCCUCGGCUCAACUGAGGAACUGCAACUAAAACUGUUAUUCUUGAGUGUUGGAGAGGAAAGCGGAAUUCCUAGUGUAGCGGUGAAAUGCGUAGAUAUUAGGAGGAACACCAGUGGCGAAGGCGGCUUUCUGGACAAUAACUGACGUUGAGGCACGAAAGUGUGGGGAGCAAACAGGA